rnacentral:rRNA from 1 species
AGUGAACGCUGGCGGUAGGCCUAACACAUGCAAGUCGAACGGCAGCACAGUAAGAGCUUGCUCUUACGGGUGGCGAGUGGCGGACGGGUGAGGAAGACAUCGGAAUCUACUUUUUCGUGGGGGAUAACGUAGGGAAACUUACGCUAAUACCGCAUACGACCUACGGGUGAAAGCAGGGGAUGUUCGGACCUUGCGCGAUUGAAUGAGCCGAUGUCGGAUUAGCUAGUUGGCGGGGUAAAGGCCCACCAAGGCGACGAUCCGGAGCUGGUCUGAGAGGAUGAUCAGCCACACUGGAACUGAGACACCGUCCAGACUCCUACGGGAGGCAGCAGUGGGGAAUAUUGGACAAUGGGCGCAAGCCUGAUCCAGCCAUACCGCGUGGGUGAAGAAGGCCUUCGGGUUGUAAAGCCCUUUUGUUGGGAAAGAAAAGCAGCAGGUUAAUACCCCGCUGUUCUGACGGUACCCAAAGAAUAAGCACCGGCUAACUUCGUG